UCCCGGUUGGCCCGGGCAGUCUCGCAUGAAAAAUACAACAUACGACAAGGGUUGCGCUCGUUGCGGGACUUAACCCAACAUCUCACGACACGAGCUGACGACGGCCAUGCAGCACCUGUCACCUGAUUCCUUGCGGCACUCCCCUGUUUCCAGGGGAUUCCAGGGAUGUCAAGCCUCGGUAAGGUUCUACGCGUAGCGUCAUAUUAAACCACAUGAUCCACCGCUUGUGCGGACCCCCGCCAAUUCCUUUGAGUUUUAGCCUUGCGGCCGUACUCCCCAGGCGGGGCACUUAGUGCGUUAGCUACGGCACGGAAGGAGUCGACACCUCCCACACCUAGUGCCCAUCGUUUACGGCGUGGACUAC
rnacentral:misc_RNA from 1 species